rnacentral:tRNA from 1 species
ACUAUUUUGACAGAAUAUUGUAAUAAAUUUAGAAUUUAUUUAAGUAUAAUUAAUUUAUACAUAUAGUA